AUUGAACGCUGGCGGCAGGCGUAACACAUGCAAGUCGAACGAGUGGCGGACGGGUGAGUAAUGCUUGGGAAUCCAGCUUAUGGAGGGGGAUAAAGACGGGAAACUGUAGCUAAUACCGAGUACCAUAGGAUGAGCCCAAGUGGGAUUAGGUAGUUGGUGGGGUAAUGGCUCACCAAGCCGACGAUCUCUAGCUGGUCUGAGAGGAUGACCGGCCACACUGUGACUGUGACACGGCCCAGACUCCUACGGGAGGCAGCAGUGGGGACUUUUGCGCAUUGGGGGCAACCUGACGCGGCCAUGCCGCUUGAAUGAAGAAGGCCUUCGGGUUGUAAAGUUCUUUCGGUAGCGAGGCGUUACCUACAGAAGAAGCGCCGGCUAACUCCGUGCCAGCAGCCGCGGUAAUAC
rnacentral:rRNA from 1 species